rfam:Salmo salar isolate Sally breed double haploid chromosome ssa28, whole genome shotgun sequence.
CUUAAUUUCUCCUGUUAGUCGCUCUGGAUAAGAGCGUCUGCUAAAUGACUAAAA